UACAGAGGGUGCGAGCGUUGUUCGGAAUUACUGGGCGUAAAGCGCGCGCAGGCGGCCUUUUAAGUCUGACGGUGAAAUGCCGGGGCUCAACCCCGUGCCCGCCGGAGAUACUGGGAGGCUGGAGACGAGUAGAGGCAAGCGGAAUUCCGGGUGUAGCGGUGGAAUGCGUAGAGAUCCGGAAGAACACCGGAGGCGAAGGCGGCUUGCUGGGCUUGGUCUGACGCUGAGGCGCGAAAGCGUGGGGAGCGAACAGG
rnacentral:rRNA from 1 species